GAGGGAGAACAUACACAACUUGUCUUCCAGCAAAACAGACGGGUUAGCUCAUUAAUAUGAAGUGCAUGAUGAUGAUGCUGGUGAUGGCCCUGAGCCUCCUGUUGGUGGGAACACACGCAGCCCCAGCGGAGAGUCCCAUAAAUUUGUUCUCAUCCAUGUCGGAGGCUCGGGUGGAGCGAGCAGCCCAGUAUCCUUGCUGCCGCUGUCCACAAACCAUCAAAAUAACGAUCGAGAUCACGAUUCAUCGGGGAUCACAGAGACCAUCAUCUCCCGACUGCUGCCCAUGCUGGCCCCCCCACCGGGGUUGAAAUAUCUCCUGUGACUGACCACGAUGAGCAUCUUUCUAUACGUCUCCACCACUCAACUUCUCUUCAUAAUUUCCUGGAACUACAGAAAAUGACGACCUUAGGCAGGAUCGUAAAAUUUUCUAUUGUGUUUUAUAGUUGCUCGAGUAUCAAUAUUAGUCAAACUGUAAACUGCAUAUAAACAAUAAAUAUUGUUGCAUGUA